rnacentral:lncRNA from 1 species
AGAAACUACUGGGAAGUUUCCAGGACAGGGACUCAAGCUACAGGAAGCCAGUGCCCAACGUUCUGGGUUCCCCACUAAAGUGCAACAUGCCUCUUCUGAAGUAGGGGUGCAGAGAAACGUCCCCAUCCCCGGCCUAGGUUUCUAGUCUGCACUGGGCAGCUGGGCCACUGAAUGGCAUGUGCCUCAGGAAGAACAUGUCUUUGAACAGUCAGAAUCUCUGAGACUGGCAGUGACGGCGGGUGCCCAACAGGCCUGUGGUGCGGCCUCAUCCCUCUGGCUCCUUUCCCAUGACUCUGGACUCUGCAGGCAGGAGG